GACGAACGCUGGCGGCGUGCUUAACACAUGCAAGUCGAACGAUGAACCCGGAGCUUGCUCCGGUGGAUUAGUGGCGAACGGGUGAGUAACACGUGAGUAACCUGCCCUUGACUCUGGGAUAACUGCGGGAAACUGUAGCUAAUACCGGAUACGACCCUCGGCGGCAUCGCCAGGGGGUGGAAAGAAUUUCGGUCAAGGAUGGACUCGCGGCCUAGCAGCUAGUUGGGGAGGUAACGGCGCACCAAGGCGACGACGGGUAGCCGGCCGGGGAGGGGGACCGGGCACACUGGGACUGAGACACGGCCCAGACGCCGACGGGAGGCAGCAGUGGGGAAUAUUGCACAAUGGGCGCAAGCCUGAUGCAGCAACGCCGCGUGAGGGAUGACGGCCUUCGGGUUGUAAACCUCUUUUAGUAGGGAAGAAGCGAAAGUGACGGUACCUGCAGAAAAAGCACCGGCUAACUACGUGCCAGCCGCCGCCGUAA
rnacentral:rRNA from 1 species